rnacentral:rRNA from 1 species
AAUAGCACCGUAACUUCGGGAGAAGGUGCACCCUCGAUCGUGGCACAUGCGUGCUACAGCGAUCGGGGGUCGCAGUGACCAGGCCGCUGCGACUGUUUAUCAAAAACACAGCACUCUGCAAACACGAAAGUGGACGUAUAGGGUGUGACGCCUGCCCGGUGCUGGAAGGUUAAUUGAUGGGGUCAGCCGCAAGGCGAAGCUCUUGAUCGAAGCCCCAGUAAACGGCGGCCGUAACAAUAACGGUCCUAAGGUAGCGAAAUUCCUUGUCGGGUAAGUUCCGACCUGCACGAAUGGCGUAACGACAGCGGCGCUGUCUCCACCCGAGACUCAGUGAAAUUGAAAUCGCUGUGAAGAUGCAGCGUUCCCGUGGCAAGACGGAAAGACCCCGUGAACCUUUACUAUAGCUUUACACUGAACGUUGAGUUCGUCUGUGUAGGAUAGGUGGGAGGCAUUGAAACCUGGUCGCAAGAUCAGGUGGAGCCAACCUUGAAAUACCACCCUGAUGUGCUUGACGUUCUAACCUCGGCCCGUAAUCCGGGUCAGGGACCGUGUAUGGUGGGUAGUUUGACUGGGGCGGUCUCCUCCCAAAGAGUAACGGAGGAGCUCGAAGGUACGCUCAGCGCGGUCGGACAUCGCGCACUGUGUGCAAAGGCAUAAGCGUGCUUGACUGCGAGAUCGACGGAUCAAGCAGGUACGAAAGUAGGACUUAGUGAUCCGGUGGUUCUGUAUGGAAGGGCCAUCGCUCAACGGAUAAAAGGUACUCCGGGGAUAACAGGCUGAUACCGCCCAAGAGUUCAUAUCGACGGCGGUGUUUGGCACCUCGAUGUCGGCUCAUCACAUCCUGGGGCUGUAGUCGGUCCCAAGGGUAUGGCUGUUCGCCAUUUAAAGUGGUACGCGAGCUGGGUUCAGAACGUCGUGAGACAGUUCGGUCCCUAUCUGCCAUGGGCGUUGGAGAUUUGAGAGGGGCUGCUCCUAGUACGAGAGGACCGGAGUGGACGAACCCCUGGUGUUCCGGUUGUCACGCCAGUGGCAUUGCCGAGUAGCUACGUUCGGAAGCGAUAACCGCUGAAAGCAUCUAAGCGGGAAGCGCGCCUCAAGAUGAGAUCUCCCGGGAGCUUGACUCCCCUAAAGGAACGUUGAAGACUACGACGUUGAUAGGCUGGGUGUGUAAGUGCAGCAAUGCAUUGAGCUUACCAGUACUAAUGAUCCGUGCGGCUUGACC